AUUGAACGCUGGCGGCAGGCCUCACACAUGCAAGUCGAGCGAGCGGCGGACGGGUGAGUAAUGUCUGGGACACUGCCUGAUGGCGGGGGAUAACUACUGGAAACGGUAGCUAAUACCGCAUACCAUCAGAUGUGCCCAGAUGGGAUUAGCUAGUAGGUGGGGUAACGGCUCACCUAGUCGACGAUCCCUAGCUGGUCUGAGAGGAUGACCAGCCAAACUGGAACUGAGACACGGGCCAGACUCCUACGGGAGGCAGCAGUGGGGAAUAUUGCACAAUGGGGGCAAGCCUGAUGCAGCCAUGCCGCGUGUGUGAAGAAGGCCUUCGGGUUGUAAAGCACUGUCAGCGGGGAGGCGUUACCCGCAGAAGAAGCACCGGCUAACUCCGUGCCAGCAGCCGCGGUAAUUC
rnacentral:rRNA from 1 species